UAGAGAACAAAGCAAAAUAGGGAAAGCUAAUAAUAAGUCAGUAAACAUGACUUAAUAGAGUACUAGAACUCUUGGUAGAGAUUAUAUUUUUUCAUAUUGGUGGAUAUAUUUCAUUAUGUAUCUUACAUGUCUUUGUUUCCAUAAAAGACAACUCCUAAUCAUUCAUAAGAAAGGGCACUAAAUGAAAAGCUCUCAGAAUGCAUUUUCUUUACCUUAACAUUCAGUUCUGGUUUGUUGCUCUAUAAAAAUUCUAACUAGCAAAAUAUUCCCCAAGUGGGAUUUAUUGAGAGCAUAUGAAGAAAAACAUUUUAUUAAAUUUGCCAUGGUUUGCGUAUUUUCUCUUCCCUUUUUUUUUUCAGAUGGGCAAAACAUGUAGCUGAGAAAAAUGGCUACUUGGGCCAUGUCAUCCGCAAAGGCCUCAAUGCCUACCUGGAAGGUUCAUGGCAUGAAGCUUUGCUGUAUUAUGUUUUAGCAGCAGAAACUGGAAUUGAAGUGUCACAGACAAAUUUAGCACACAUCUGUGAGGAGAGGCCAGACCUGGCCAGGAGAUACUUGGGUGU
rnacentral:lncRNA from 1 species